rnacentral:rRNA from 1 species
AAGUCAUAACAAGGUUUCCGUAGGUGAACCUGCGGAAGGAUCAUUAGUGAUUUGGCCGAGAGGCCUUCAUACAUCAUCCUCACACCUGUGAACACGUCGGAUCCCUCCGGGGAGACGAUACCUUUAACAAACAAUGUUGUAAUGAACGUCAUAUACACAAACAAAAAACAAAACUUUCAACAACGGAUCUCUUGGCUCUCGCAUCGAUGAAGAACGCAGCGAAAUGCGAUAAGUAAUGUGAAUUGCAGAAUUCAGUGAAUCAUCGAAUCUUUGAACGCACCUUGCGCCUCUUGGUAUUCCGAGAGGCAUGCCUGUCUGAGUGUCAUGAAACCUCAAUCCCACGAGUUUAAUCGCUUGUGUGGACUUGGACUUGGGCGUCUGCCUCCCCAGGCUCGCCUCAAAUGACUCAGUGGGACACCGUGUACCUACGCCUGACGUGAUAAGUUUCGUCUCGGCCGGUCUCGGAGCCCGCUCAGAACAACCCAUAUCUUUUGACCAUUGACCUCAGAUCAGGUAGGGCUACCCGCUGAACUUAA